UAGGGAAUCUUCGGCAAUGGACGAAAGUCUGACCGAGCAACGCCGCGUGAGUGAAGAAGGUUUUCGGAUCGUAAAACUCUGUUGUUAGAGAAGAACAAGGACGUUAGUAACUGAACGUCCCCUGACGGUAUCUAACCAGAAAGCCACGGCUAACUACGUGCCAGCAGCCGCGGUAAUACGUAGGUGGCAAGCGUUGUCCGGAUUUAUUGGGCGUAAAGCGAGCGCAGGCGGUUUCUUAAGUCUGAUGUGAAAGCCCCCGGCUCAACCGGGGAGGGUCAUUGGAAACUGGGAGACUUGAGUGCAGAAGAGGAGAGUGGAAUUCCAUGUGUAGCGGUGAAAGGCGUAGAUAUAUGGAGGAACACCAGUGGCGAAGGCGGCUCUCUGGUCUGUAACUGACGCGGAGGCUCGAAAGCGUGGGGAGCAAACAGG
rnacentral:rRNA from 1 species